GCGUCGGUGGUUCAGUGGUAGAAUACUCGCCUGCCACGCGGGUGGUUCGAUUCCCGGCCGACGCA
rnacentral:tRNA from 1 species